GAAUUUUGGACAAUGGGCGAAAGCCUGAUCCAGCAAUGCCGCGUGCAGGAUGAAGGCCUUCGGGUUGUAAACUGCUUUUGUACGGAACGAAAAGCUUUGGGUUAAUACCCUGGAGUCAUGACGGUACCGUAAGAAUAAGCACCGGCUACCUACGUGCCCGCAGCCGCGGUAAUACGUAGGGGGCAAGCGUUAAUCGGAAUUACUGGGCGUAAAGCGUGCGCAGGCGGUUUUGUAAGACAGAGGUGAAAUCCCCGGGCUCAACCUGGGAACUGCCUUUGUGACUGCAAGGCUAGAGUACGGCAGAGGGGGGUAGAAUUCCGCGUGUAGCAGUGAAAUGCGUAGAGAUGCGGAGGAAUACCGAUGGCGAAGGCAGCCCCCUGGGAUAAUACUGACGCUCAUGCACGAAAGCGUGGGGAGCAAACAG
rnacentral:rRNA from 1 species